UUUAAACUGGAGAGACGGCUGACAGGAAGAUGUCGUCAUCUCUAACCGUCACUCGCCACAGUUCUCAAGCAAGAAAGGCAGCGAGGGGUGGUGUGAUGUCAUUUGCAACAAGACGGCUGAUACUAAUAUGAGCCUAAAAUGAAGGACAAUAAUGGCAUCAGCCAUUCAAGUUAUGAUCCUGGCAGAUCUACUACUAUCUGAAAAGUAGUCUGCAGAUUUUUUCAAGAUACACAAGAUGGAGCGUGGAGAGACGGGACAUGGACCACAGUUUUUCAGCACCCACACCCCACACUCAAAUUCAUAUAGAAGUUCUCAAUUAUUAAAUGUUAAUAUGAUAGUUUAUAUUUAGCUGUGAAGUUAUAGUUCAUUGUCAUAAAUAUUAUUAUUAUUAUUAUUAUUAUUUUACAUGAUAUGCAAAUUUCACCAAUUUGUUCAAUGUGUUAAUGAACUUUUUGAAAGUGAUUAUCUUUAAUAAUUCAGAUACCUGUUGAAAUGCACAUGUAAUUACCGUAUUGUCCCGAAUAUAAGACGACCCUGAUUAUAAGACGACCCCCCUUUUUCCAGAUCUACCUUUUGGAAAAAGGCUUUUUGAAAAGCAAAUCUUGUUUUUUUUUUUUCUCUCUCUGUAAAAUAUUUUUUCUUAAAUUAUUUUCAAAUUGCAUAUUUUUCCUAUUUUAAUUUUUGUUUUGAAAGUAUGGUAAAUACUGGUAAAAUGUACCAGCAAUGACACUGAAAAAUAUACACUUUUUGAUAUAUAGCAUAAAACUAACAGGUAGCCCAUCUGAAUUAUAUAACAUUUAGGCUAUCCAUCUCAUAGUAGCCUACCAACAUUUUAUUAACAGUAGAAGUGAAAUCUUAUCGUAGUCUUCAAAUCUGGGUAUAGUCUUGUGUUUUAAAAUCACUUACAGAGGAAGUUUGUUCCCAUCAGGUUAACAUGACAGUCACGACUCAUGCCGCUGUAAGCUUUUCUUUUUCUUUUUUCUCUCGCGAUCUUUAUAACACACAUACAUUACAUAUUUCAUGGCACACUCGUUUUAUGCGUGUUUGGCGCCACCUAUUGUUGUGGGUGUAUUACUGACAUGUCAAAGUCUAGACCCCAAAUAUAAGACGACUGCGUUUUUUCAGAUGUAUUUCCAAGAAAAAAACACCGUCUUAUAUUCGGGUCAAUACAGUAUAUACUUGCUCGUAUCUGGAAGGCUGUGUUAAUAAAAAUGAUGUUGAAAGCGAAUGUUGCAA